UUGCCAGCCCGCUCAAGAAACUCAAAGGAAGUUGACGGGGCCCGCACAAGCGGUGGAGUAUGUGGUUUAAUUCGAUGCAACGCGAAGAACCUUACCUGGUCUUGACAUCCCGGAGACCCUUAGGAAACUAGGGGGUGCUUCCAUCUGGAAGAAUCUGGAGACAGGUGCUGCAUGGCUGUCGUCAGCUCGUGUCGUGAGAUGUUGGGUUAAGUCCCGCAACGAGCGCAACCCUUGCCUUUAGUUGCCAGCAGUUCGGCUGGGCACUCUAAAGGGACUGCCGGUGUUAAACCGGAGGAAGGUGGGGAUGACGUCAAGUCCUCAUGGCCUUUAUGACCAGGGCUACACACGUACUACAAUGGCCGAUACAAAGGGCAGCGACACUGCGAGGUGAAGCCAAUCCCGUAAAAUCGGUCUCAGUCCGGAUUGGAGUCUGCAACUCGACUCCAUGAAGUUGGAAUCGCUAGUAAUCGUGGAUCAGCAUGCCACGGUGAAUACGUUCCCGGGCCUU
rnacentral:rRNA from 1 species